GUGAGGAAUAUUGCGCAAUGGAGGCAACUCUGACGCAGCCAUGCCGCGUGCAGGAAGAAGGCGCUACGCGUUGUAAACUGCUUUUAACCGGGAAGAAACCCCAGGACGUGUCCUGGGUUGACGGUACCGGAGGAAUAAGCACCGGCUAACUUCGUGCCAGCAGCCGCGGUAAUACGAAGGGUGCAAGCGUUAUCCGGAUUCAUUGGGUUUAAAGGGUGCGUAGGCGGAGCGUUAAGUCAGUGGUGAAAUCCUGCAGCUUAACUGUAGACUUGCCAUUGAUACUGGCGCUCUUGAGUGCGCUUGAAGUGGGCGGAAUGUGCCGUGUAGCGGUGAAAUGCUUAGAUAUGGCACAGAACACCAAUUGCGAAGGCAGCUCACUAAGGCGAUACUGACGCUGAGGCACGGAAGCGUGGGGAUCGAACAGGAUUAGAAACCCUUGUAGUCC
rnacentral:rRNA from 1 species